rnacentral:rRNA from 1 species
CUGGCGGCAUGCCUUACACAUGCAAGUCGAACGGUAACGCGGGGCAACCUGGCGACGAGUGGCGAACGGGUGAGUAAUAUAUCGGAACGUGCCCAGUAGUGGGGGAUAGCCCGGCGAAAGCCGGAUUAAUACCGCAUACGACCUGAGGGUGAAAGCGGGGGAUCGCAAGACCUCGCGCUAUUGGAGCGGCCGAUAUCAGAUUAGGUAGUUGGUGGGGUAAAGGCCCACCAAGCCAACGAUCUGUAGCUGGUCUGAGAGGACGACCAGCCACACUGGGACUGAGACACGGCCCAGACUCCUACGGGAGGCAGCAGUGGGGAAUUUUGGACAAUGGGCGCAAGCCUGAUCCAGCCAUGCCGCGUGCGGGAAGAAGGCCUUCGGGUUGUAAACCGCUUUUGUCAGGGAAGAAACGCUCUGGGUUAAUACCCUGGGGUAAUGACGGUACCUGAAGAAUAAGCACCGGCUAACUACGUGCCAGCAGCCGCGGUAAUACGUAGGGUGCAAGCGUUAAUCGGAAUUACUGGGCGUAAAGCGUGCGCAGGCGGUCCUGCAAGACAGAUGUGAAAUCCCCGGGCUUAACCUGGGAACUGCAUUUGUGACUGCAAGGCUGGAGUACGGUAGAGGGGGAUGGAAUUCCGCGUGUAGCAGUGGAAUGCGUAGAUAUGCGGAGGAACACCGAUGGCGAAGGCAAUCCCCUGGACCUGUACUGACGCUCAUGCACGAAAGCGUGGGGAGCAAACAGGACUAGAUACCCUGGUAGUCCACGCCCUAAACGAUGUCAACUGGUUGUUGGGAAGGUUCCUUCUCAGUAACGUAGCUAACGCGUGAAGUUGACCGCCUGGGGAGUACGGCCGCAAGGUUGAAACCCAAAGGAAUUGACGGGGACCCGCACAAGCGGUGGAUGAUGUGGUUUAAUUCGACGCAACGCGAAAAACCUUACCUACCCUUGACAUGUCUGGAAUCCUGAAGAGAUUUGGGAGUGCUCGAAAGAGAGCCAGAACACAGGUGCUGCAUGGCCGUCGUCAGCUCGUGUCGUGAGAUGUUGGGUUAAGUCCCGCAACGAGCGCAACCCUUGUCAUUAGUUGCUACGAAAGGGCACUCUAAUGAGACUGCCGGUGACAAACCGGAGGAAGGUGGGGAUGACGUCAGGUCAUCAUGGCCCUUAUGGGUAGGGCUACACACGUCAUACAAUGGACGGUGCAGAGGGCUGCCAACCCGCGAGGGGGAGCCAAUCCCAGAAAACCGUUCGUAGUCCGGAUCGCAGUCUGCAACUCGACUGCGUGAAGUCGGAAUCGCUAGUAAUCGCGGAUCAGCUUGCC